rnacentral:rRNA from 1 species
GCAUAUUAGUAGGCGGUGGAAGAUAAUCCAAAAGGGAUUCCUUCAGUAAUGGCGAAUGAACGGGGAAUAGCUCAGCAAAGAAAUCGAGGACUCUGGCCUUGAGUUGUGGACUUGAGAGGUAUCGCCAAUGGUGGCACAGGUGGGGGCCUCUUGGAAAAGGGCACCACAGAGGGUGUGAGUCCUGUUUGCCAUCUGUAGUCCGCCGUGUACGGCAUGCCUCCUCAGAGUCACGUUCCUUGGAAUUGGAGCGCGAAGGUGGUGGUGGCUUUCAUCUCAAGCUAAGUAUGGGUUCGAGACCGAUAGCAAACAAGUACCAUGAGGGAAAAUUGAAAAGAGCUUUGGAAAGAGAGUUAAAAGUGCCCGAACUUGCUGAUAGGGAAGCGAAGGGAGCUGACGUUGCUUGGUAACAUCUUCUACGCAAGACUAGGAUGGGUUCUGAUUGCAAUGUGUGUAGUGUUUCUUGCCGUGCGUGUCGAUGCCAAGCAAUGAGUGGGGAGAGCUCCAGGGAUGUGAUUGUUUCUGUCUCCGGGUAGACGAAGGUGCCUGGUUGCAUCCAUUCGUGGGCUGAAAAAUUGGUGGCUGGUCGCAGCACUCCCUUGCCACUCAAGGCAAUUGGAGUGUAGCCCUGACAUGCAGACGAGGACAAAGUGCUUCUGUUCGACCCGUCUUGA